UACCACCAACAUUCAGGUGUUGCAAGGAAUUGGCUCUUGUUAUCUGUUCAGAAAAUCAAUUGAGAACCAGCGAAAGGAAAAAAAGAAAAUCAAGUCCAUUGAGAAAAUGCAAAAAUACAUUCAAGUUGAAGAAAUUCAUUGAUUGAUGUGGCAAAAAUGGCAUCACAUACCAAUUGAACAACACCUUUGUCAGUGAUCCCUGUGAUACCCCAAAGGGAAAUAGAUGUCAAGUUGCUAACACACUUUGCCAAUGAGAUUUGAUACAGUCCAUUAUCAGUUAUUUGGCAACCCCAACGAUUCCUUGAACUGUGAUCAUAAUAAGAAUUAGAAUAUGAAAAUGAAGAUCAGGCCUAUCAACAUCAAGAUUGAGAUUUCUGAUUAAAAAAUUUUCUCAUUCAGCUGCACAUGGAAGAUUAGCUAUC
rnacentral:lncRNA from 1 species